AUUCGUCAGCGUAAAUGACAUUUUCAGCAGCCACGGAACUCAUGCUCCCCAGAGUCGUCAUCAAAUUGAACUGCAAAUUUAAUUCAUACCGACUGUUUGUUUAUGUCACUGUGUCCGAUUUUUUGAUACUCUUUUCAAAUGCUUUAAAGGCUUAACUAAACAGUAGGAUCAGAUCUUAAAAUCAAGCUCCCGCAUUUAAUUGCAGUAUAAAUGCCUGAAAUGGCAAACACAAAGGAUGUGCGAACCGGGAUGGAAAUCUGGAUGAGAUGCGAUAAUUAUUCAGAAUGGCGCGAAUUUCCAUCACAUUAAAAGUGCAGACAAUGGGGGAUAGUAAAAUGCAGCUAGCGGAUAAUGAAAAUCGUGUUCAAGUGCGGAAAUGCUGAAAAUUAUUUCAAUGAAAC